GAUGACUCUCGGCAACGGAUAUCUUGGCUCUUGCAUCGAUGAAGAACGCAGCGAAAUGUGAUAAGUGGUGUGAAUUGCAGAAUCCCGUGAACCAUCGAAGUCUUUGAACGCAAGUUGCGCCUGAGGCCAUCAGGCUAAGGGCACGCCUGCCUGGGCGUCGUGU
rnacentral:rRNA from 1 species